UACGUAGGGGGCAAGCGUUGUCCGGAUUUACUGGGCGUAAAGAGCGUGUAGGCGGCCAAACAGGUCCGUUGUGAAAACUGGAGGCUCAACUUCCAGACGUCGACGGAAACCGUGUGGCUAGAGUCCGGAAGAGGAGAGUGGAAUUCCUGGUGUAGCGGUGAAAUGCGCAGAUAUCAGGAAGAACACCAAUGGCGAAGGCAGCUCUCUGGGACGGUACUGACGCUGAGACGCGAAAGCGUGGGGAGCGAACAGGAUAGAA
rnacentral:rRNA from 1 species